CCUAUGGGAGGCAGCAGUAGGGAAUCUUCCACAAUGGACGCAAGUCUGAUGGAGCAACGCCGCGUGAGUGAAGAAGGGUUUCGGCUCGUAAAGCUCUGUUGUUGGUGAAGAAGGACAGGGGUAGUAACUGACCUUUGUUUGACGGUAAUCAAUUAGAAAGUCACGGCUAACUACGUGCCAGCAGCCGCGGUAAUACGUAGGUGGCAAGCGUUGUCCGGAUUUAUUGGGCGUAAAGCGAGUGCAGGCGGCUCGAUAAGUCUGAUGUGAAAGCCUUCGGCUCAACCGGAGAAUUGCAUCAGAAACUGUCGAGCUUGAGUACAGAAGAGGAGAGUGGAACUCCAUGUGUAGCGGUGAAAUGCGUAGAUAUAUGGAAGAACACCGGUGGCGAAGGCGGCUCUCUGGUCUGUUACUGACGCUGAGGCUCGAAAGCAUGGGUAGCGAACAGGAUUAGAUACCCCGGUAGUCC
rnacentral:rRNA from 1 species